rnacentral:piRNA from 1 species
UCAUGGAGUAUGUGCCAGGAGAGGACC